UACAGAGGUCUCGAGCGUUGUUCGGAUUCAUUGGGCGUAAAGGGUGCGUAGGUGGCGCUGUAAGUCGGGUGUGAAAUCCUGAGGCUUAACCUCGGAACUGCAUUCGAUACUGCGGCGCUUGAGGACUGGAGAGGAGACUGGAAUUCAUGGUGUAGCAGUGAAAUGCGUAGAGAUCAUGAGGAAGACCAGUGGCGAAGGCGGGUCUCUGGACAGUUCCUGACACUGAGGUUCGAAAGCUCGGGGAGCAAACAGG
rnacentral:rRNA from 1 species